AGAAUGGAGUCCAAAAUGAGAAAAAUUCGUGUCAUUUACCGUGAUCCAUACGCGACUGAUUCUGAUUCAAGUGAUGAUGAAUCAGAGAUAAAUGUUGAGAGAUCGUUUAAAUCCAAACGAUUCGUGUCCGAGAUCAAUUUUCCAUUCGUUGUUUUUCCUCAGUCAAAAACCCUCGAGCCUGAGAGUUCCUGUCAAGACAGUAACAA
rnacentral:misc_RNA from 1 species